rnacentral:rRNA from 1 species
UACGGAGGGAGCUAGCGUUGUUCGGAAUUACUGGGCGUAAAGCGUACGUAGGCGGUUACUCAAGUCAGAGGUGAAAGCCCAAGGCUCAACCUUGGAACUGCCUUUGAUACUGUUUGGCUUGAGACCGGUAGAGGUAAGUGGAACUGCGAGUGUAGAGGUGAAAUCCGUAGAUAUUCGCAAGAACACCAGUGGCGAAGGCGGCUCACUGGCCCGGUACUGACGCUGAGGUGCGAAAGCGUGGGGAGCAAACAGG